rnacentral:rRNA from 1 species
UACGAAGGGGGCUAGCGUUGUUCGGAAUUACUGGGCGUAAAGGGCGCGUAGGCGGUUUAGUAAGUCAGAUGUGAAAUCCCGGGGCUCAACUCCGGAAGUGCAUUUGAAACUACUAGACUAGAGUACAGUAGAGGUUGGUGGAAUUCCCAGUGUAGAGGUGAAAUUCGUAGAUAUGUGGAAGAACACCGGUGGCGAAGGCGGUUUUCUAGCUUACUCCUGACGCUGAGGCGCGAAAGCAAGGGGAGCAAACAGG